CUUCCCUUUUAAGGCUGCAUAAUAUUUCAUUAUGUGUAUAGACCACAUUUUGUUCUUUCACACCUCAGUGCAUCUGCCUUUUGGUUUUUGUGACUAGGGCUGCUGUGAACAUGGAUGCACAAAUGUGUGUUCAAGUCCUUGCUUUCAUUUCUUCUGAGGUUGCGGGAUCAUACAGUAAUUCUAUGUUUAAUUUUUUAAGGAACCAUCAUGCUGUUUUCCAUGGUAGCUGCACCUGUACCAUUUUACAUUCCCACCAGUAAUGCACAAGGGUCGCAGUUGCUCCACGUCCUGGCCAGGUUGUUAUUUUGGGGGUUUGUUUGUUUAUAAUAACCAUCCUAAGGGGUAUGAAGUGAUGUCUCAUUAUGGUUUCGAUUUGCCUUUCCCUAGCCAUUAGUGAUGCAAAGCAUUUUUUCAUGUAUUUAUUGGCCAUUUGUAUAUCUUCUUUGGAGAAAUGUCAUUUCGGGUGCUUUGCCCAUUUUUAAUCAGGCGGUUGGCUUUUUGCCAUUGCAGAGGUGUCUCCCUGCUUGCUCAGAUAGUUGACCACUUCUAGAGGCUAUUGAGCAUUUAUGCAGAGUUUGCUAGCGCAGCCCAGUCCCUUUGCGCCUGUGUCAUGCAGAGAAAAAUGCACAGACACUUGCCAUUCUGGAAAAUUCCACCUGACCUUGAAAGAUUUGCCCUUCCUGUUCCUUGAGAAGGAACUUCAAUGGUGGAUGCUGCAGAAAUAAGCCAUUGAUGGCUUUGGGAUACCAUGUGAUUCUGUCAUCUGAUGUUUCACUAGGUAAAAAUAUAAUCUCUUUUGGGAAAAAGGAGGGAACAGAUAUUUUCUCUUCUAAGUUCCCAGUAUAGUGAUAUUUUAGAGCAGGGGUUGAUAAACUCUGGCCUGUGCACUGUAUUUCACCCCCACCUGUUUUUAUAAAUAAAGUUGUAUUGGAACACAUCCAUGCCCAUUUGUAUAGGAUUGUCUGUGGCUGCUUUUGUGGUACAGUGGGAGAGCUGAGUGGUGGUGACAGAUUGUCCAGACCCACAAAGCCUAAAAAAUUUGCUAUCUGGUCCUUUACUAAAAAAGCUUGCCAGCCCUUGACUAUUGUAGGCUUUUAAGAGGUACCAUUUUUUUUAAACCAUAGAUGUCAUAUAGUGAUGUUGACUGCUGACUGUUCACGCUCUACUUGAGCAGCUUGAAAACUAUAAAGCUCACAUAGAUAUAAGCUAUUACGGCUUCUAAGUAUUUAGUGAACUCCAACUUUGUGUCCAGAACUGUGUUCUUUAAUUAAGCCUUUGUUAUUUGAUUGGGGCAAUAACUUUUUCAUCCAGCAUCCCCAGGGCUGCUGCCAAGUGUAACUGAGCUGGCAGUACUUUUUAAAGUCACAGUAGCUAACGCUUGCCUUUCCCCUGCAAUAAUCCCUGUUGAUACUGAACUUUGGUGAAGCAGCUCUGAUCUUUAGCUGCAGUGAGAAGAGUUACACUGCAGGGACGUGGCCCUGAAGCGUAGAGCACCGAAAAACUUGCUGCCUUCCACCUUAAAAAUAGCAUCCUGCUUCUUUUAGCCUUCCCUCUCCACCCCAAGUCAGAGGUUCAGCAUUGCUAAGGCAGGGAUGGCCAGUUUUGGAAUUUUGAGAUCUAUGGGGUUGCCAAUUUUGUUCUGCCUUCUGGUCAACCUUUUGGCCAUUCAUGCAAUGAAUGUAUGCUAAUUGCUAGAAGAAUUGUUAAGGUGUAUGGGCACUGACUUUGAGGAGUUUACGUGGUGUAUUUGGCCAGUUCAAGAAUGUUAAAUUUAAAACAUUAUAUGUAUUAUGCUUUGGAAAUUCUAAACAUGCACCCAUGCUCAUACUCACCCACAAACACAGGACCCCCCCUCAAGGAGAUCCUAAAGCCCGGAGUGACAUCUCCCAGAAGAUGUUUUCUUAUGUAAAGUGGCAGGGUAACCAUUUUGUACAAUCCAAAAAGGAUCCCAAUAAUGGAUAAAUCUAGUGAUGUGUCACACUUUGCUGUGGAUAUAUAUUUAUCUUAAGGCAAAAUAGAAUCCUUGUCACAUUUCAUAGUCUUACUGCCCCAACUGAAAUCUAUUAGUAAAGCUACAGGAGUUGAUUGGAAUAGCGCUGAUAUAUUAAAAACUUUGUAGCCCUUUUCCUUUAGAAAAGGAAAGCUGUCCUCUUCCCCCCUCCCCACCAUAAUCUAAUAAUCAGUAUUUCUCUUCCAGAUCUGGCCCUUUAUCCUGUAGUGAUUACUCUCCUUGGAAACCAUUACCAAAAUACUGUCUUCUCCUUAAGUUGUAGGCUUUCAUGUUGAAAAGAAUCUGAUGAGAAUCCCUUUGCAAAUGAUUUUCUUCAGUUGCUAUGAGGAUACUAUUUCCUUAUUUUUUCAUUUGUAUCUUUUUACUCCUAAAGAACAGAUCUCUAUGAAUUUCAUGGCAUUUAUUUACAAUUCUCUUCUCAAUUUGUAGACAAGUCUUGGAAUUCAGAUAUUGCCCUUAGAACGACUUGGGGGUUAUUCAUGCACUCAAUAAGCAUACCUUAUUGUGGUCUGAUGAGAAUUUAUUCAUUUCUGCCUACUUUGAUUGUCUGCCGUAUAGGCCAGGCAGCAGGCUAGAUGUUGGGAAGAUAGAAAUAAAUGAUAUAAAUUCCUUGUUCUCAGAGCUGGGCCACAACUCAGUGGGGGGCGGGGAGAAAAAUUUACAAUAGAAUAUGAAAAAAUGCUUCUUGUAGAGGUCUGUACAACAUGCAAUACUAAGUCUGGGGAAUUUGUAUGCUUACUUAAGUCUUUCAAUUGAAUUAGACUGUGGAUAAAUGCAUCAGAUGAGAAACACAUAUUUCUCUACUCUGAGGUAGUAGAUGGAAAAGUUGAACGAAAUGAAGUGCAUCUGUGAUAACCCACAGCCCCCAGCAAGGGCCCUGCCCUUGUGCUAUGGUUGUUCCUGCACGUUCUUCGUGUUUGGGUCAUUAACGUUGCAUUGGGGUCAGAUGAAAGUAUGCGCCCUCUGCCAUGCUUUGAUAGCUGAAGUCAAAUACUGAUCAUUUACGAUCCUCUGUGCCGCCGAUUGCAUGCUGGUGGCUCAUAAUCAGAAUGAUGUGAAGUAAUUGUCAGAGCGACUUGCCGAGGCUCCGUUUUGUGUUGGUGCAACCGUCAGCGCUUUUGGUCCUGCUGCUCGGCCUGAAGAAUGCUUGCCUAGCACCUGUUGGGUGUGGCAAAAGCAGACUCGCCAUUCAGUGUUGUCCGUGACUUCUGUUCUGUCGUCCUCACUUGCUGCCCUCGUAUAUGUUAUAACCUGAAAAACAAUGACCUGAAAAAAGAAAUAUCCAGUUCUCUAGGGAAAGCAAUUGCUUAUCUUUUGUGUUUGAGAAAAUGCUGGGGCUGUCAUAUAAACUUCACAUGUAUAUUACAACGAUGCUUAUCUUUUUUUCCUUUGGUCUUCAAACCCAGACAAAGCUAGCUCUGCAUUCUUGCUUUGUCACCUGUUGGUUAUGUGACCUUGGAUCGGUCACUUGCCUUGAACCUUGUUUUCCUUAUCUGCACAAUGGGGCUAAUGGAACGUGUUCUACAGAGAUUUUUAUGAAGAUUAGAGAUGGUAGAUAAAAACUUGCCAGCAUGAUUAGCCAUCCAGUAGAUGUUGUGGCUGAUAUUUAGGAAUCCAUUGUGUGCUCAGGAUGACAUUAUGCAAUGGCAAGACAGAAUUUUCCAAAGCCAGUAGUCCAAAAAGAUAUUGUAAGGGUGGAAUAGAGAGCACCAGCCCAGUUUUUCUGGCUAGGUCAUGUUUACCCGAGAUGCACAAUUGAAGGAGGAUAUUAGAGUCUAAACCCUCAUUUUCUAUGGCCAGGUCUGCUAGGGAGAAUGUGCUCUGGGCCAUUCCAUGCCCACCAUCAAAGGAUGCAAAUGUGCUUUUGAAAGUGUAUUUAAGAUAGUGUAUCCUUUAGUUUUGUCUGCAUAAGGAGAUGUUUUAUAGCACGCAACACAGCCUGGCCAUCUGCUUCUCAUGGAGAGAGCAGGGAGCACAAGAGAGUGAAGGAGAGCAAAAUCUGUCCCUUUGAGACGUUCAUGGUUAGAUCAAGGAACAUCCCGCCAGCCCCGGAACUGUACAUCAAAAGAGAUCCGUGAAAAUAACCCAGUCUCUAUUCCACCUUACAGCAAAGCCCCAGGUGAGAGUUGAGGAAGUGAUACUUUCUCUGACUCCAUCCAGUGCUAACAUUUAAGGGUUGAGUUCCUAUCUCCCAAUGUUGAUUCUAUUUCAGGUGGUCAAAAUAGAAGAGUAGAAAUCUCUUCGAAGAGCGUGACCGCCCCCCCCAACACACAUCGUCACUUCCCCUGAAAUUUGCAUAAGCUGGACAAGGCGGGAACUUUUAGGGAACUUUUAUUGGAAGGUAGCAUGCGAAAGGGUUAUCACCUGUGCAUUCCUUGUGGCGUCUGGUUUCAUAAAUCAAACUGUUUCUCUGCUUUUUGAUCGCUCCAGGGUUUUCCAGCUGGUAUCUGAUUUGGCAUUUCUCUGCUGCCACAGUAUGUCCUAUCUGUCUUUCUCUGCUGCCCCCUGGCCAUCCCCCACCUCUUGCGUGUUUGUUAGAGCAGUGUUGGCAAUACUUUCAAGAGUUAUGUUCGUCACCGGAAGAAGAAUUCACUCUACACUCUUUGUUGAUUGUGGGAGAUACGUCUAGCACCCCCAGUUUCCCUCCCAAAGCGGUCUUUUCCUGGAAUGUUGCUGGUCAGUCACAGUUAUAGACGUGGCGCAGUAUUUCUAUCAAGGACAAGGAUAUGGCAUGCAGCUCAGCUCAGCUGUAUCACAGAACGUUUUCCCAAAUCAACCUUUCUCUCGGAGAAGGAAAUCAGACAUGCUAAGACGACACAGACCUCCAGCUCUUGAUAUCAUCUAAAUACAGUAAAUUCUGAUUUAAGUCUUCAAGUUCAUGUAAUGUGAUUAUAAUUUUUAGGUUCACUCAAGAGUCUGCAAUUUUCCAUUUACUUUUUCUCUGUCAUUAAGUAACCACCAUGAUUGGACCCCAAAACAGGGACACUUCUAUAACCUCAAACUUAGGAUUUCAUACUGGAAAUAUGCAUCUCUAGUCACCAUUAGCCCUAGUCUUUAAAAUGUUGUCCCCUUUCAGUGUAUUGGAAACUCACUAUUGUGAUUUGUGAUAUGAUUUCCUGCGUUAUAUGUACUCGUUUGUAUUUUUCUCAGCUACACCCACUCAAACCAAAACAUUUUUUUGUUAAGAUUUUUGAUACUUACACAAGCUGCCUUUAUCCAUUCUGAUGAAAAUGUAGAAGCAAAAGAACCACACACCACCACAGACUUGGUCAUUUCUUGUAAAUGUGGGGCAUUUUGAUAGAUUCUGUAAAUUCAACAGAUAGAUAUUUAGUGGUUCAGUCUUUCAGGGCAGUACCCUCGAAGUCCUUAAAAAAUUAGGAUGGAGAUGGAUUUAUUGAUGUUAAAAGGUUUAUAACAUUACAAGUAAAAUAGACUGCAGAAUAUGAAUGAUCUUGUGUGUUAUGAAUAAAUUGUAUGUAUGUAUGUAAUUUUGUAUAUAUAAAAUGUACUCUGUAUAACUGAUCAGAGGAGAGAGCCUGGGACCAAAAUCUGGAAGCCAAAAUCUUCACCGUGACCAUUAGUGGGACUUUUAAUGAUUUGUAUUUUGGGUUUUUUUUUUUUUCUCCCUUAUCUGCAUUACCUAAUUGUUCACAGUAAACAGUUAUACUUUGUGCUCAUUUUUCUCAGCUCAUUUUGGGGGGUGGAAGAAAAAGAGAACACAAGUGCUCACAUUUUUGAUAA
ensembl:lncRNA